rnacentral:rRNA from 1 species
UACGAAGGGGGGCUAGCGUUUGUUCGGAAUUACUGGGCGUAAAGCGCACGUAGGCGGAUCGAUCAGUCAGGGGGUGAAAUCCCAGAGCUCAACUCUGGAACUGCCUUUGAUACUGUCGAUCUAGAGUAUGGAAGAGGUGAGUGGAAUUCCGAGUGUAGAGGUGAAAUUCGUAGAUAUUCGGAGGAACACCAGUGGCGAAGGCGGCUCACUGGUCCAUUACUGACGCUGAGGUGCGAAAGCGUGGGGAGCAAACAGG